GUUUAAAUUUUAAAUACAAAAUAAUUAACCUUAAGUGCAAAUUGAACUCCUAUAUUUUUAAAAGCACUAAGUCAUUAGUACCUGUAAGUUUUCAACCUUUGGAUGAACAUUUGUAGGCUUAGAAUAAUAAUAAUCAUCUAGGAUUGAAUGAGUGGUUGUUAAAAUAGCAUAAUCUAAGAGAUGAAAAAUUAGUCAAAUGGACAGAGCUAACGGCGAAAAAUUUACAAGCGCGAUUAAAUUAAGUGCUUGAUGCUUUUAAAAGCACCGUGGCCGGAUUCCAAGUUUAA
rnacentral:lncRNA from 1 species